rnacentral:misc_RNA from 1 species
GAUGAAGAACGUAGCAAAAUGCGAUAAGUAAUGUGAAUUGCAGAAUUCAGUGAAUCAUCGAAUCUUUGAACGCAUAUUGCGCUCUCUGGUAUUCCGGAGAGCAUGCUUGUUUGAGUAUCAGUAAACACCUCAACUCCCUUUUCUUUUUUGAAAUGGGAGCUGGACUUGAGUGAUCCCAACACUUUUCUCACUGGAAAGUGGCGGGUCACUUGAAAUGCAGGUGCAGCUGGACUUUUCUCUGAGCUAUAAGCAUAUCUAUUUAGUCUGCCUAAAAAACAGAUUAUUACCUUUGCUGCAGCUAACAUAAAGGAGAUGAGUUCUUGUGCUGACUGAUGCAGGAUUCACAGAGACAGCUUUGCGGCUGACUUUGUAAACUCGAUCUCAAAUCAAGUAAGACUACCCGCUGAACUUAAGCAUAUCAAUAAGCGGAGGA